rnacentral:rRNA from 15 species
AUGUAGAUAAGGGAAGUCGGCAAAAUGGAUCCGUAACUUCGGGAUAAGGAUUGGCUCUAAGGGUCGGGCUCGCUGGGCCUUGGGGGAAACCUCGUGGAGCAGGAAGGCACUAGCCGGGCAACCGGCCGGCGCCAUCCAGCACCGCGGGGGGACGCCCUUGGCAGGCUUCGGCCGUCCGGCGGGCGAUUAACGACCAACUUAGAACUGGUACGGACAAGGGGAAUCUGACUGUCUAAUUAAAACAUAGCAUUGCGAUGGCCAGAAAGUGGUGUUGACGCAAUGUGAUUUCUGGCCAGUGCUCUGAAUGUCAAAGUGA